rnacentral:rRNA from 1 species
AUGGCACAUCUUCGAUGUCUUGUCACUGGAAAUUUCCUUGUCUACGGACCAAUUUCCUUUGGUCUACAAAAUCGCUGUUGCAUGAGCAUUCUGCAGCACUUUGAGCGUCUCAGUGUCCUCACUCUCUAUAUUAACUAUCCGCCGGUCAUAGGUAACUUGAAAUACUGGAUGGAAGAUAUGACAAGUCUUCCCGACGUUACAAUAUUGACCCUGGAUGUAACUGCAUAUGUACAUUCAUUUGGAGCCAGCGUAUUCCAUGUUCUCAGGAUGUGCCCUCGUUUAAAAGUACUCAAUAUCAGAUUUCCUAUGAAACCUAGCCAACUGGAGGCACAAACUGUGUUUUGCUCCUCAGACUGCAUAUGCGAUCAGCCACCCAACUGGAAAACCGAAGAACUCCUGCUGGACUGCCUUGAAGAAGUUGAAAUUUCGGGCUUCAGAGGAGCUGAACAUGAAGUUGCUCUUUUGAAACGGCUAUUCAGCUGGGCAAUGGUGCUAAAAAGGAUGAUGAUAAAAUUCCAUGGGUCCGUCACCGAAAGCAAGCGCAAUAGGCUAUGCCGGCUGUUACUAAGCUUGUCCAGGCCAGAAAUAUGUUUGCAUGCAGCGCCUCUAGGCCAGAAAUAUGCACGCAUAGAAGCAUGUAGCGCUCCAUCUUGGCGAAGGUUUUAUGCGUUCUAG